rnacentral:rRNA from 1 species
CCUUGGUUUCACGGUAUUGCAAUGAGAACAAUUUAAAACCCUUAGCGAGAAUCAAGUGGAGGACAAGUCUGGUGCCAGCACCCGCGGUAAUUCCAGCUCCACUAGCGUAUAUUAAAGUUGUUGCAGUUAAAAAGCUCGUAGUUGAACCUCUGUCUGGGGCUAGUUUUGGCUUUGGUCAGGCUAGUUCUAGGCAUCCGCCUACAGGACUUAGAGGGCAUUCAGUUGUUCACUAGGAGGAGUAGGCAUUUUACUUUGAGAAAAUUAGAGUGUUUAAGGCAGGCAAUCGCCCGCAUAUAUUAGCAUGGAAUAAUAGAAUAGGACACUUUUCCAUUUCGUUGGUUAUUGGAAUCGUGUAAUGAUUAAUAGGGACAGUUGUGGGCAUUUGUAUUUAAUUGUCAGAGGUGAAAUUCUUGGAUUUAUUAAAGACAAACUAACGCGAAAGCAUUUGCCAAGGAUGUUUUCAUUAAUCAAGAACGAAAGUUAGGGGAUCAAAGACGAUCAGAUACCGUCCUAGUCUUAACUAUAAACUAUUCCGACUCAAUGUUUGACUGGCUUAUAUAACCAGUUGAGCGUUGUAUGAGAAAUCAAAGUCUUUAGGUUCUGGGGGGAGUAUGGUUGCAAAGCUGAAACUUAAAGGAAUUGACGGAAGAGCACAACCAGGAGUGGAUUCUGCGGCUUAAUUUGACUCAACACGGGGAAACUUACCAGGUUAGAACAAUAGUGGGAUUGACAGUUUGAGAGCGCUUUCUUGAUUGGUUGGGUGGUGGUGCAUGGCCGUUCUUAGUUGGUGGAGUGAUUUGUCUGCUUAAUUGCGUUAACGAACGAGACCUUAACCUGCUUACUAGACUGGCGAUCAUCAAUCGUUAGCUCUUCUUAGAGGGACUUUGGUUGUUUUAACUCCAAGGAAGUUUGAGGCAAUAACAGGUCUGUGGUGCCCUUAGAUAUCCUGGGCCGCACGCGUCAUACAAUGACUAGUUCAGAAAGUUUUCUCCUGACCCGAAAGGGGAUGGGUAAUCUUGAUAAUACUAGUCGUGUUAGGGAUCGAUCUUUGCAAUUAUAGAUCUUGAACGAGGAAUUCCUAGUAAGUGCGGUUCAUCAGACCGUACUGAUUACGUCCCUGCUCUUUGUACACACCGCCCGUCGCUUCUACCGAGUGGGUGGUCCGGUGAGAUAAUUGAACUUCGCAGGUAACUGAGAGGAAAGAUUAUCAAACCUAUCCACCU